GACAGAGGGUGCAAACGUUGUUCGGAAUUACUGGGCGUAAAGCGAGUGUAGGCGGUCUGAAAAGUCGGGUGUGAAAGCCCUGGGCUCAACCCAGGAAGUGCACUCGAAACUGCCAGGCUAGAGUAUCGGAGAGGUUGGUGGAAUUCUCGGUGUAGAGGUGAAAUUCGUAGAUAUCGAGAGGAACACCGGUGGCGAAGGCGGCCAACUGGACGAAUACUGACGCUGAGGCGCGAAAGCGUGGGGAGCAAACAGG
rnacentral:rRNA from 1 species